CUCUCACUGUACUCACUUUGUUUGAACUGUAGUGUAAAACCCCUACAGUUUUUACAAUUGUUUUUCAUAAUGGCUAUUUGUUCUUUUACGUUGUAUGUUUCCCUAUGAAAGAGGAAAGGCUUACCUGCCCUAAAAAGCAUAAAAGUACUUCAAAGAGCAAUGUGGGUAAAAGUAGUGUAUUCUGGCCCCGAGGGGAGCAGUCCAAGUGUUGUCGUAGGUAUCCACAUUCUGCUCUAAUCCUGGUGACAUCCCUGAAAGGCCUCUUCACACCUGUCCCCGCGGAGACAACUUCGCCUUCUGAACAAAGGUAGGCGCGGCCCCUGCCACCGCACGUUUCUCAUCCGUGGAAGGGAGAUAACGCCUUCACGCGGGGUUCUUGUGAGGAUUGAAAACGAGAUGUCAGAUGUUCACUGCGCACAGUCGUCAUCGAAAUGGACCCAUCAGGAGCUCACAGAAUUGGUGAGAAGCUGGAGAAAAGGCUUGGGAGAGAACAGCUGCUCAGGAACUCAGAUCCAUCCGCAGGUCAAUGCUCUAUCCACUGAGCCGAAGCUCUAU